GGUGGCUCAGUGGUAGAGUGCUUGCUUUGCAUGCAUGAGGUCCUGGGUUCGAUUCCUCAGUACUA
rnacentral:tRNA from 1 species